rnacentral:rRNA from 1 species
UGGGGUAUAUUGCACAAUGGGCGCAAGCCUGAUGCAGCCAUGUCGCGUGUAUGAAGAAGGUCUUCGGGUUGUAAAGUACUUUUAGCGGGGAGGAAUGGAGUAAAGUUAAUACCUUUGCUCAUUGACGUUACCCGCAGAAGAAGCACCGGCUAACUCCGUGCUAGCAGCCUCGGUAAUACGGAGGGUGCAAGCGUUAAUCGGAAUUACUGGGCGUAAAGCGCACGCAGGCGGUUUGUUAAGUCAGAUGUGAAAUCCCCGGGCUCAACCUGGGAACUGCAUCUGAUACUGGCUAGCUUGAGUCUCGUAGAGGGGGGUAGAAUUCCAGGUGUAGCGGUGAAAUGCGUAGAGAUCUGGGGGAAUACCGGUGGCGAAGGCGGCCCCCUGGACGAAGACUGACGCUCAGGUGCGAAAGCGUGGGGAGCAAACAGG